AUUGAACGCUUGCGGCAGGCCUAUCACAUGCAAGUCGAACGAGUGGCGGACGGGUGAGUAAUGUCUGGGAAACUGCCCGCUGGAGGGGGAUAACUUCUGGAAACGGUAGCUAAUACCGCAUACCAUCGGAUGUGCCCAGUUGGUAUUAGCUAGUAGGUGGGGUAACGGCUCACCUGGGCGACGCUCCCUAGCUGGUCUGAGAGGAUGACCAGCCACACGGGAAAUGAGCCAUGGUCCAUACGCCUACGGGAGGCAGCAGUGGGGACUAUUGCACAAUGGGCGCAAGCCUGAUGCAGCCAGGCCGCGUGUAUGAAGAAGGCCUUCGGGUUGUAAAGGACUUUCAGCGAGGAGGCGUUACUAGCAGAAGAAGCACCGGCUAACUCCGUGCCAGCAGCCGCGGUAAUAC
rnacentral:rRNA from 1 species